rnacentral:rRNA from 1 species
GGUGGAUCAUGGCUCAGAUUGAACGCUGGCGGGAUGCUUUACACAUGCAAGUCGAACGGCAGCACGGACUUCGGUCUGUGGCGAGUGGCGAAUGGGUGAGUAAUGUAUCGGAACGUGCCUAGUAGCGGGGAUAACUACGCGAAAGCGUAGCUAAUACCGCAUACGCCCUUCGGGGAAAGCGGGGACCUUCGGGCCUCGGUACCAUUAGAGCGGGCUGAUAUCGAUUAGCGAAGGUGGGGUAAACGUCACUCAAGGCGACGGACCCGUAGCUGGUUUGAGAGGACGACCAGCCACACUGGGACUGAGACACGGCCCAGACUCCCACGGGAGGCAGCAGGGGGAAUUUUGGACAAUGGGGGAAACCCUGAUCCAGCCAUCCCGCGUGUGCGAUGAAGGCCUUCGGGUUGUAAAGCACUUUUGGCAGGGAAAGAAACGGCACGGGAUAAUACCCCGUGCAACUGACGUACCUGCAGAAUAAGCACCGGCUAACCAUGCCAGCAGCCGCGGUAAUACGUAGGGUGCAAGCGAAUCGGAAUUACUGGGCGUAAAGCGUGCAGGCGGUUCGGAAAGAAAGAUGUGAAAUCCCAGAGCUUAACUUUGAACUGCAUUUUUAACUACCGAGCUAGAGUGGGGUGUCAGAGGGAGGUGGAAUUCGCGUGUAGCAGUGAAAUGCGUAGAUAUGCGGAGGAACACCGAUGGCGAAGGCAGCCUCCUGGGAUAACACUGACGCUCAUGCACGAAAGCGUGGUGGAGCAAACAGGAUUAGAUACCCUGGUAGUCCACGCCCUAAACGAUGUCAACUAGCUGUUGGGGCCUUCGGGCCUUGGUAGCGCAGCUAACGCGUGAAGUUGACCGCCUGGGGAGUACGGUCGCAAGAUUAAAACUCAAAGGAAUUGAUGGGGACUGCACAAGCGGUGGAUGAUGUGGAUUAAUUGAUGCAACGCGAAAAACCUUACCUACCCUUGACAUGUCUGGAAUCCCGAAGAGAUUUGGGAGUGCUCAAAAGAGAACCGGAACACAGGUGCUGCAUGGCUGUCGUCAGCUCGUCGUGAGAUGUUGGGUUAAGUCCCGCAACGAGCGCAACCCUUGUCAUUAGUUGCUACGAAAGGGCACUCUAAUGAGACUGCCGGUGACAAACCGGAGGAAGGUGGGGAUGACGUCAAGUCCUCGCGGCCCUGGUGCAGAAGCCACAUCGUCAUACAAUGGUCGGGACAGAGGGUCGCCAACCUGGCGAGGGGGAGCUGAUCCAGAACCCGAUCGUAGUCCGGAUCGCAGUCUGCAACUCGACUGCGUGAAGUCGGAAUCGCUAGCACUGCGGAUCAGCAUGUCGCGGUGAAUACGUUCCCGGGGUCUUGUACACACCUGCCCGUCACACCAUGGAGUGGGUUUUACCAGAAGUAGUUAGCCUAACCGUAAGGAGGGCGAUUACCACGGUAGGAUCGACUGGGGUGAAGUCGUAACAAGGUAG